UAAUUUCUGAUGUAAAGAGCAUGAUGCCAUGCACAAAUGGGCCCUCAGUGACUAUCCGAUGCAGGGCCAGGCACUGAAUGCAGAGAAUCAUGCCAGGCUAGGCUGGUGGUCCCAGAGGAGGAUAAGAGGCUCAUGGAGCAGAGUUGCCUGAUGAGGCCCAGCCAAGAUCAGCAGACCCUCAACCAACACAUAGACACAUGAACCAGAUAAAUGGUAUUGUUAUUUGCCACUGAGAGAUGGAUCAUCCCUAGAAGAUGGUGGUAUCUCUGGCCAUACCCAGGAAAGGCGCCACAGAUGCUCAAGUACAAGUGCAGGUCUAGGCAUCAGCUACCACCCCAUCUGCUGGUGGUGCUAAUACUUCUCCGGGAUACCUCCCCUCCAGUCUUUUCCACCCCUACAGGGUCAGCACUGCUCUUAAGCCUUCAAGUGUCACAUCUGCAUGGCAGCUGCCAGCAAAAGGGAGAAAAAUCUCUGUAUCCCUUCAGGUGACACUAGCUGCUGUAUGGAUAAACACCUAAAUCUCACUUGGCUGAAUGCAAUAAAAGUUUAUCUGGUGCUCACA